rnacentral:misc_RNA from 1 species
AAGUCGUAACAAGGUUUCCGUAGGUGAACCUGCGGAAGGAUCAUUACCGAAUUGUCGACACGAGUUGUUGCUGGUCCUCAAACGAGGGCAUGUGCACGCUCUGUUUGCACAUCCACUCACACCUGUGCACCCUCCAUAGCUCUGUAGCUUGGGGGCUUUGUCCCCCCUGCCAUGGUUCUGUGUAUUUACACACACACACUGUAUAAAGUCUCAUGGAAUGUAUGCCGCGUUUAACGCAAUAUAAUACAACUUUCAGCAACGGAUCUCUUGGCUCUC